UAUUCCUGAAAAAUGAUGUAAUUUUUGUCAACCACAAAAUGUUUGUAUACUGUAAUUUUAAAGAUGCCUAAAUUUUGUCACAUAUACAUUUUGAUAUUGAUUACCUAUUACCAACUCAUAUCAUAAUUUUAUUAUUUUAAAGUUUAGACUAUAUUUUUUCUGUAUAUUUUAUCUUGAAAUAUUUUUUAUUGUCUAUAUUCUUUUAAAUAUUCUUCAUUCAAGAAACAAUUUGUCACAUUCGAUAAAUUAAAAAUAAAAUCUCAUAUAUAUUUCAUACUUCAUAACAUAGACAUACCUAUAAUAUAAUAGACCGCGAACAACACAUAUUCCAUGUAGAAAUUAUAGAAGCCAACAUAUGUGCGAGUGAGAAAGACUAAAGAGGUUUUCUCAUGGGGGAAAAAAAAAACUUUUUACUGCAUGACAAAAUAAUGAUGAUAGUGAUAUCAUCAUUUUUUUACCAUAACAAAUAACAAUAAACAAUAACAAAUUGUUGAUGAAUGUCUGCUUCUAACGUGAACAGCGAGUUUUUUAGUUGCCUAUUAAGCCUUUUUAUUUUGAACACUUUGAUAUAAUGGUUCAAAAAUGUUAUAGUUGUGGUUCUGCUAAGAUAGACAAUGUUAAACUUCAUGGAUUUCCUAAAGAUAUAAAUGGGUUGCUCAAAUAAAAAAAGAUGUUCCUAUUAUCAUACAAAUCCAUUAUAAUCAAUGCUGAAGUUAAAUGUCUAAUGUCCAUUGACUGCCAACGCUUUAGCAUUAGACGACACAAGUAUUCUAAGAAUAUCAAGUGCUCCACCAAAAAAAAAAAAGAUGAGCAAUCUGAAAUGCUAGAUUUGUUAUGUGCUGCAGGAACUGAAAUAAUUGAAACAGAAGAUAUAUUAGACAUUUAUGAGCACAGAAAUUCCCUUAAUGAUGUUUUAACAUACAUAGCAGGAUUUGUUGUUUAAAAAAUGAAAAAGGAUAUUCUAUGUACAGUUUGUGAAAAAUCUUUGGGAACAAAAGAAUCGGGAUCUGCUCUAAUUGGACCUAAAAUUGAGGUGGUUUAAUUAUUGUAAUUUGUUAGCUGAACGUGUAAUUCGUGGAUACCAAAGAAUUGAUGGAUCAAACGUUGUAAAGAGGAUUACAAUUGAAUGUAUGAGAAAAAUUAAUAUUAGUAAAUAUUUUAUCUCAUUAUCAAAUCAUUUUCUCGAACAAGAACCUUUCAAUAAUCAUCUCCUACAGCUGUUAAAACUAAUUAUGCACAUUUUUAUUACACUAAGACUUCAUCAUAUUAAUUCAUCAACAAAUUCAAUAGAUCAAAAAAUUAGAACAUUCUACACAAAAUUAAUGCUUUUUCAACAUCAAUAAAAUAUCAUAAGUAACAUAAAAA